rnacentral:rRNA from 1 species
UACGAGGGGGGCGAGCGUUGUUCGGAAUUAUUGGGCGUAAAGGGUGCGUAGGCGGUUUGGUAAGUCUUAUGUGAAAUCUAUGGGCUCAACUCAUAGACUGCAUGAGAAACUGCCGGGCUUGAGUAUGGGAGAGGUGAGUGGAAUUCCUGGUGUAGCGGUGAAAUGCGUAGAUAUCAGGAGGAACACCUGCGGUGUAGACGGCUUUCUGGACCAUUGCUGACGCUGAGACACGAAAGCGUGGGUAGCAAACAGG